rnacentral:rRNA from 1 species
UACGUAGGGUGCGAGCGUUGUCCGGAAUUAUUGGGCGUAAAGAGCUCGUAGGCGGUUUGUUGCGUCUAUCGUGAAAACCUGCAGCUUAACUGUGGGCUUGCGGUGGAUACGGGCAGACUUGAGUUCGGUAGGGGAGACUGGAAUUCCUGGUGUAGCGGUGAAAUGCGUAGAUAUCGGGAGGAACACCAGUGGCGAAGGCGACUACCUGGCCUGUUCUUGACGCUGAGGCGCGAAAGCUAGGGGAGCAAACGGG